GAUUAAGUUAUUAAGGGCGCACGGUGGAUGCCUUGGCACUAGAAGCCGAUGAAGGACGUUACUAACGACGAUAUGCUUUGGGGAGCUGUAAGUAAGCUUUGAUCCAGAGAUUUCCGAAUGGGGAAACCCAGCAUGAGUUAUGUCAUGUUAUCGAUAUGUGAAUACAUAGCAUAUCAGAAGGCACACCCGGAGAACUGAAACAUCUUAGUACCCGGAGGAAGAGAAAGAAAAUUCGAUUCCCUUAGUAGCGGCGAGCGAAACGGGAAGAGCCCAAACCAACAAGCUUGCUUGUUGGGGUUGUAGGACACUCUAUACGGAGUUACAAAGGACGACAUUAGACGAAUCAUCUGGAAAGAUGAAUCAAAGAAGGUAAUAAUCCUGUAGUCGAAAAUGUUGUCUCUCUUGAGUGGAUCCUGAGUACGACGGAGCACGUGAAAUUCCGUCGGAAUCUGGGAGGACCAUCUCCUAAGGCUAAAUACUCUCUAGUGACCGAUAGUGAACCAGUACCGUGAGGGAAAGGUGAAAAGCACCCCGGAAGGGGAGUGAAAUAGAACCUGAAACCGUGUGCUUACAAGUAGUCAGAGCCCGUUAAUGGGUGAUGGCGUGCCUUUUGUAGAAUGAACCGGCGAGUUACGAUUUGAUGCAAGGUUAAGCAGUAAAUGUGGAGCCGUAGCGAAAGCGAGUCUGAAUAGGGCGUUUAGUAUUUGGUCGUAGACCCGAAACCAGGUGAUCUACCCUUGGUCAGGUUGAAGUUCAGGUAACACUGAAUGGAGGACCGAACCGACUUACGUUGAAAAGUGAGCGGAUGAACUGAGGGUAGCGGAGAAAUUCCAAUCGAACCUGGAGAUAGCUGGUUCUCUCCGAAAUAGCUUUAGGGCUAGCCUCAAGUGAUGAUUAUUGGAGGUAGAGCACUGUUUGGACGAGGGGCCCCUCUCGGGUUACCGAAUUCAGACAAACUCCGAAUGCCAAUUAAUUUAACUUGGGAGUCAGAACAUGGGUGAUAAGGUCCGUGUUCGAAAGGGAAACAGCCCAGACCACCAGCUAAGGUCCCAAAAUAUAUGUUAAGUGGAAAAGGAUGUGGCGUUGCCCAGACAACUAGGAUGUUGGCUUAGAAGCAGCCAUCAUUUAAAGAGUGCGUAAUAGCUCACUAGUCGAGUGACACUGCGCCGAAAAUGUACCGGGGCUAAACAUAUUACCGAAGCUGUGGAUUGUCCUUUGGACAAUGGUAGGAGAGCGUUCUAAGGGCGUUGAAGCAUGAUCGUAAGGACAUGUGGAGCGCUUAGAAGUGAGAAUGCCGGUGUGAGUAGCGAAAGACGGGUGAGAAUCCCGUCCACCGAUUGACUAAGGUUUCCAGAGGAAGGCUCGUCCGCUCUGGGUUAGUCGGGUCCUAAGCUGAGGCCGACAGGCGUAGGCGAUGGAUAACAGGUUGAUAUUCCUGUACCACCUAUAAUCGUUUUAAUCGAUGGGGGGACGCAGUAGGAUAGGCGAAGCGUGCGAUUGGAUUGCACGUCUAAGCAGUAAGGCUGAGUAUUAGGCAAAUCCGGUACUCGUUAAGGCUGAGCUGUGAUGGGGAGAAGACAUUGAGUCUUCGAGUCGUUGAUUUCACACUGCCGAGAAAAGCCUCUAGAUAGAAAAUAGGUGCCCGUACCGCAAACCGACACAGGUAGUCAAGAUGAGAAUUCUAAGGUGAGCGAGCGAACUCUCGUUAAGGAACUCGGCAAAAUGACCCCGUAACUUCGGGAGAAGGGGUGCUCUUUAGGGUUAACGCCCAGAAGAGCCGCAGUGAAUAGGCCCAAGCGACUGUUUAUCAAAAACACAGGUCUCUGCUAAACCGUAAGGUGAUGUAUAGGGGCUGACGCCUGCCCGGUGCUGGAAGGUUAAGAGGAGUGGUUAGCUUCUGCGAAGCUACGAAUCGAAGCCCCAGUAAACGGCGGCCGUAACUAUAACGGUCCUAAGGUAGCGAAAUUCCUUGUCGGGUAAGUUCCGACCCGCACGAAAGGCGUAACGAUUUGGGCACUGUCUCAACGAGAGACUCGGUGAAAUCAUAGUACCUGUGAAGAUGCAGGUUACCCGCGACAGGACGGAAAGACCCCGUGGAGCUUUACUGUAGCCUGAUAUUGAAAUUCGGCACAGCUUGUACAGGAUAGGUAGGAGCCUUUGAAACGUGAGCGCUAGCUUACGUGGAGGCGCUGGUGGGAUACUACCCUAGCUGUGUUGGCUUUCUAACCCGCACCACUUAUCGUGGUGGGAGACAGUGUCAGGCGGGCAGUUUGACUGGGGCGGUCGCCUCCUAAAAGGUAACGGAGGCGCUCAAAGGUUCCCUCAGAAUGGUUGGAAAUCAUUCAUAGAGUGUAAAGGCAUAAGGGAGCUUGACUGCGAGACCUACAAGUCGAGCAGGGUCGAAAGACGGACUUAGUGAUCCGGUGGUUCCGCAUGGAAGGGCCAUCGCUCAACGGAUAAAAGCUACCCGGGGAUAACAGGCUUAUCUCCCCCAAGAGUUCACAUCGACGGGGAGGUUUGGCACCUCGAUGUCGGCUCAUCGCAUCCUGGGGCUGUAGUCGGUCCCAAGGGUUGGGCUGUUCGCCCAUUAAAGCGGUACGCGAGCUGGGUUCAGAACGUCGUGAGACAGUUCGGUCCCUAUCCGUCGUGGGCGUAGGAAAUUUGAGAGGAGCUGUCCUUAGUACGAGAGGACCGGGAUGGACAUACCUCUGGUGUACCAGUUGUCGUGCCAACGGCAUAGCUGGGUAGCUAUGUGUGGACGGGAUAAGUGCUGAAAGCAUCUAAGCAUGAAGCCCCCCUCAAGAUGAGAUUUCCCAACUUCGGUUAUAAGAUCCCUCAAAGAUGAUGAGGUUAAUAGGUUCGAGGUGGAAGCAUGGUGACAUGUGGAGCUGACGAAUACUAAUCGAUCGAAGACUUAAUCAA
rnacentral:rRNA from 1 species